UACAGAGGUCUCAAGCGUUUGUUCGGAUUCAUUGGGCGUAAAGGGUGCGUAGGCGGCGUGGUAAGUCGGGUGUGAAAUCUCGGAGCUUAACUCCGAAACUGCAUUCGAUACUGCCGUGCUUGAGGACUGGAGAGGAGACUGGAAUUUACGGUGUAGCGGUGAAAUGCGUAGAUAUCGUAAGGAAGACCAGUGGCGAAGGCGGCGUUUCUGGACUGCAACUGACACUGAGGAACGAAAGCCAGGGGAGCAAACGGG
rnacentral:rRNA from 1 species